rnacentral:lncRNA from 1 species
UACACAAUCAAUUCUCAUUAACAUUCAUUAAAAUCAUCUGGAAUGUCUUACAUCAAGUUUCAACUAUGAAUCCAACAAUUUGUCAAUAUCUAAUAACAAGUUCCAAAAAUGCAAUUCUUCGAGCCUCAACUUUUCAACAAUUAAAUAACUUUUUUCCCCUUUGCUUCCAAGCUACCAUUGAUCAUAUUUCCUGCAAAAUUCAAGUAAAAAACAUUCUCAUACCAACAAACAAUAUAAGCAACCUAAACUUGAAAUUUCAGACAACACGUUAGACUUCUACUUCCUGCGACAAUCAUAUUCACUACAAGAUUCUCACAUGACAAACAAUGUUAGUCUACACCACUUAAAUGAAACGACUGAACAAGUGAUUGUGGAGAAAUGGUGGAGUCUCCUUUCCACCAUUUAAAUCUUAUAUAAAGUGCAUAUAAAUCCACCAUUUAGACUAUCAUUGCUAUUCAAUUUAUUAAUCAGAAAAUACAAAAGUAGAAGACCAUAAUUAAUUACCUUCACAUAGGAACCAUGGGGAAUAGCCUGAAACCGAUUUCAAGCUCCACUUCUUUGACAUCAGAUAUCGAGAUUUUCUGCUUUCUGAGAGAGGAAAAAAUGGAGACAAUACAUAAAGGUGUCUAUAGCCUUAAUACAAGUCUUGCCGGCAAAAACGUACUCAGCUCCACCUAGUGUGACAGUUCGAAAUAGGGCAACGGUAAAUAGUAUCGUAGUAAAUGCUCACACUACGAAAUCUUUUAGAGUGAACGUUACAAGAAAAAUAUUGAGCAGGUUGAAAAUCAGUGAUAUCGAGUUUCAGCCCCGCGUACUCAUCUUCGAAUGAACUAGUUGGAUUGAGUAGAGCCUGCUUAGCACCCUCAGUCACAAAAUGGGAGCCAACUUCAAGAUUGGCUACGCUUCGGUACAAACUGCUUAGCUUCCAAUGGUAGGUGCCUCAUCUUCAUAGUGCUUCUCGAGGACUUUCACAAUUCUUCCCAACGGCAAAGUCAAGAAGCUCAACAAAAUGUCUACAAAAUGGCUGUCUGCUUCUGCAAAGAGCACCUUAGAUUUCUCUCUAUUGAUCAUCACUUUCAACGAAAACGUAACAUUCUUGUUAUUCUCAGACAUUUUGGUAUAGGCGAAGACUAAUUUUUCUACAAUUCUAUUUUCUACAAUAAAAAUGGACAGUCACAGUUAUAACCUUAAAACCAAGAAACAAGAAACUGAAGAAGAAUUAUCUACUGAUUUGGAGGGAGAAUACAUUUAUGGACCACUUUGUGCAGCAUAGAGCUUAUUCAUUUUGUAAGAAAUCACCACUUGUUUUAAUUUCUGGCUAACUUCUGGCGAGUACAACACCUAGAACUAAACACAACAUGAAGGCAACGCCUAGAAUUUGUCUCACUUGAAAAUAGCAAAUACCAAUAGGAGCAUGCUCCACAAUAUAAGAACUAAAUCAGUUUCUUUUCAUCUCUAAAUCCAAGAAACUGAAAACUGAUACAGAAAUGGAUAAACAAGGUACCUACUUAGGUUAAGUUAGCACUAUCUAACUUCAAAUAUUCAAGUUGCCCCUAGUUUAAUUGGGCCUAAAAUAUGUACUUCACCAAUAAGCAUAAGAGAUUGGAUUAACAACAAUACAAAAGCAACAACAGUGAUUGAUAUAAAUUAACAUAUGGAGUAGUAAUUUACUGCAGCAAUAGCAAAGAAAAAAUAGCAACAACAAAUAAAGAAAAAAUAGCAACAACAAAUGAAGAGAAAGACUCAGAGAGCAGCUGAGAAAGCACGGAAGACAUUUGUGACGACACAAAUGAAGAAAAAAUCUUACUGAUAACAAUUCCAGUGGCAGAUUUUUAUUUGGUUCAGGCUCCUCAUCCAAUAUCGCUUAAACCUACAAAUCCACAAUAGCAAUAAAAUUGAAAUAAAAUAAAAUAACACAAAUCAUGGAAUUGCUUCCAGAUAAAACCUUAAGCAAAAAAUUAAAAAAUCACAAAAAAACUAAGAGAGUUAUGCGGGAGAAGCAAGGCAGAGCGAGGCAGAACCAGCCGCUAGCCUGCAUCGAGGGCUCCGAAGCGGGGUGUCGCGACCGGAGGAGAAGGAGGCGGCAACGACCAACUAGGGUUCUGGAGGUCGACUGGGGUGGGUGGGAGGGGGCGACGACAUAAGGAUGCAGGGUAGAGCGUCGCUCGAGGUCGGCGGGGAGAGAGGCGAGGAGCAAGGUAGGCGACGUGGGGAGGUCGGUGAGAUGCCAAAUAUCAAACUCACGAAAUCUCACUUCAGUGACGAGUAAUCGGCGAUUCAAUGAGGCAUGGAUCGGAGGUGACGCCGGGAGUGAUGCAGGCAGAGAACUUGAGUUGUGCGGCAGAGGAGAAGGUGGUCACGUAGGGUUUGGUGGAGGAGAAAGAAAUUAAAAAUACUAAGAAAUCCACCGGUUUCAUAGAUUGUCUA